CCCUGAGAGCUUUUCAUUUGGUGCAUUGGCCGGGAAAGGAGAUCCUCCACCCAGGGACCACCGACCACCCACUGGGAGCCCUUCUCUGAGGGCCCAUUUACAGGCCCUACAGAUUGUGCAGAGAGACGUCUAGAGACCUUUGGCCGCUGCUUACCAGGACAAGCUUGAACAUCCGGUGGUGCCACACCCGUUCCAGAUUAGAGACACCGUGUGGGUACACAGACACCAGACCAAGAAUCUCGAGCCACGGUGAAAAGGACCCUACACCGUCCUCCUGACUACCCCGACCGCCCUAAAGGUAGACGGAGUCUCGGCUUAGAUCCACGCACCACACGUCAAGACAGUCUGGUCUGAGAAAUUGACUAAUCACAACACUACACCCCAGACAUGGAGAGUUCAGCGCAUUCCAAACCCCUUAAAGUUAAAACUCCUACGUGGCUCCUCCUAGCCCUUUUGUGGCCUAGAGU
ensembl:lncRNA